AUUGAACGCUGGCGGCAGGCCUAACACAUGCAAGUCGAGCGAGCGGCGGACGGGUGAGUAAUGUAUGGGGACUGCCCGAUAGAGGGGGAUAACUACUGGAAACGGUGGCUAAUACCGCAUACUAUCGGAUAACCCAUAUGGGAUUAGCUAGUAGGUGGGGUAAAGGCUCACCUAGGCGACGAUCUCUAGCUGGUCUGAGAGGAUGAUCAGCCACACUGGGACUGAGACACGGCCCAGACGCCGACGGAGGCAGCAGUGGGGAAGCUUGCACAAUGGGCGGAAGCCUGAUGCAGCGACGCCGCGUGUGGGAUGACGGCCUUCGGGUUGUAAAGUACUUUCAGCGGGGAGGCGUUACCCGCAGAAGAAGCACCGGCUAACUCCGUGCCAGCCGCCGCGGUAAUUC
rnacentral:rRNA from 1 species